UGGGGAAUAUUGCACAAUGGGCGCAAGCCUGAUGCAGCCAUGCCGCGUGUGUGAAGAAGGCCUUCGGGUUGUAAAGCACUUUCAGCGAGGAGGAAGGUGGUGAGCUUAAUACGCUCAUCAAUUGACGUUACUCGCAGAAGAAGCACCGGCUAACUCCGUGCCAGCAGCCGCGGUAAUACGGAGGAUGCAAGCGUUAAUCGGAAUUACUGGGCGUAAAGCGCACGCAGGCGGUUUGUUAAGUCAGAUGUGAAAUCCCCGGGCUCAACCUGGGAACUGCAUUUGAAACUGGCAAGCUAGAGUCUCGUAGAGGGGGGUAGAAUUCCAGGUGUAGCGGUGAAAUGCGUAGAGAUCUGGAGGAAUACCGGUGGCGAAGGCGGCCCCCUGGACGAAGACUGACGCUCAGGUGCGAAAGCGUGGGGCAGCAAACAGGAUUAGAUACCCUGGUAGUCCACGCUGUAAACGAUGUCGAUUUUGGAGGUUGUGCCCUUGAGGCGUGGCUUCCGGGGCUAACGCGUUAAA
rnacentral:rRNA from 1 species